rnacentral:lncRNA from 1 species
UUUAAUUUUUUUAAUUAUGCAGUUCACACACAGAUGAAUUGCUGAUCAUGUAUCCUCCACUUUAAAAAAACUUGGAUUAGACCAUCCUCAAGUGCCCUACCAUCAUUAGUAUUCUAAGAUUAUAACCAAACUCACAGAAAACUGAUUUAUAAACCUGUUCGUAUAAGCUAACAUAUACUAAGAAUUAGCAAUGAUCAGUUGCAUGGGUCAGACCACAUGAGAGGAAGAAGAGGAAAUUAACAGUCUUAAACUUCUGCUACCUGACAAGGACUUUGUUAGGUGCUCUAAACGUUAGCUCAUUUAAUCCUAAUAAAAACCGUAAGAAAAUAGGUAAUACUAUUCCUCCUUUACAGAUGACGAAAUGUAAGUUCGGACUUCAGCCACUAUCCAAGGUCGUUCAGUUAGUCAGUGGUGGAAUCUAAAUUGAUCAGAUCUGAGUCUAGAACUUUUCCAUUUGAAAUGAAGAAUUAGAGGGUAUUAGGAACAUUAGAUUAGGAAUUAGAGGAUAGAAAGCUGAGAGAUAUUUCCACCAAGUUACUGCAGCUUGGUGACUUGUCUAGGUUUAUGUCUGCUCAACAACUACAACUGAUUAGCAGAGGCUGGUACUUAAAGUAAGAAUGUGAUGGAAGGAUAGAUGAUGGAUGAAGGCAGACUCUAGUCACAAACCCUCAUUCAUUGACUCUACUUCAAAAAUCCAAUGCGGCCAUGUGUCCUGUUCAUCCAUUCAAGUAGACAAAUAUUUAUUAAAUGCCUCUUGUGUGCAAGAUACUCUGGGGAUGCUAUAGUUACAAAGACUAAAAGAUUUAUAACUUUUCUCAUUGCCCAAAAGAUUGGAGACAGUAUCCUAGCUGCUUCUAGGUAUGUAUAAGGAGCUAUGCCAUUUUCAGAAAUGGACUUUUUGGAGGGUGGUUGGUUGGAAGAAAGCCGUUCUGAGGUAAACUAAUCCUUGUCGGGUUCAGUCAGACCUGGUACGGGUGCCCCUUAGUAUUUGAAUGGUCCUCCGUUCUGUCUACUUGCUCCAGAUAGCUACCUUUCUGUCCUUGAAAGAGAAAGCCCUUUCCAGUAUCUUUCCUAGAUGUUGGUGUUUUUUUAGGGUCAACUGAAAACAUAUCUUCAUUAAUUAGAAUACAUUCAUACCAUGGAACCCCGUGCAACUGCAAAAAGUAAUGAGGAAACUCGCGCCCUACUGUUAUGGAAUGGUCUACAAGACCACGGAUAUAUUGUUAAAUUAACAACAAGAAGAGGUGCAGAACACUCCAUACAGUAUGAUACCCUGUGUGUAAAAACAGAAAAAAGAGUAUAUACACUUAUUUAUUAGAUGCGUAUAGAGUAAGGAUGCACAAUAAAUUGGUAAUAUUGUUUGCUUCCUGGAAAGGAACCUGGGCGCCUGGGGUGCAGGGAUGGGAGGGGGACACCUAGAGGCUUUUCGCUGUCUUCCUCUUCUGUGUUUUGAAUUUAGCACUAUGUGUAUAUGACCUAUUUCAUCAAAAUUAUUUCAUCAAAAUUAAGCAAGGAAAAAAAUCUCUUGGUAUCCCAGGACACAAGAGAUAUUUUAGUUCACAAAGUCUAAUUGCAAAUCUGAUGGAAUCUUCCCAGUUCCCAUUUUACUUUCUCUCUGCAGCAUGUAACAUUGUCCUCUACUCCCUUCUUGAAAUUCUCCUUCUAUCUGGAGAAGAAUCACGGUAAGAAGGCGUCACUGUAUUUGUCACAGAAUGUUCCAUACAGGGGCAGCUAGUUUUACUCUAUCUCGCCAUUAGUGAAGAAUUAAGAAUUGCUACUCCACACUACAAACGUUGUCACUAAUAUCUAUAUUUACACAACGGAGCGUCUGGAGCUGGACUGCCUGAGUUCAGUCCCAGCCUCAUCUCUCACUAGCUGUGUGGCCCCAUGGAAAAACUUAAUCUCUGUAAACUUCAAUCUCCUCAUCUCUAAAAAGGGGGAAGUAAUUGUCCAACCUCAUCAGGUGGCUGCGCAGAUUAAAGGACAUGAUCCCUGACAGCAUUAGUUACAGGGUCUGAAGCUCAGUGCGUGUCAGCUACAACUGGUUCCUCCCUGUAAGUUCCUCGAGGGCAGGACUCUGCAGUCCCCUCAGGAGGCUGCUACUGGUCCCAACAGAGAGCUCGAUGGCCACAAGGUGCCCUGGGUCCCUUUGGAGUGGUUCUCACAGACGAGAACCCGGGAGCGAGUCCCUCGGCACUGCAACCUUUGGGCUCUAUGUGGCUACAUCAGAGAUGUGCCUGAGAUCUUCUUAAAGAUUCUGGUGUAACUCUCUUGUUCAAGAAGUCUUGAGGCCAUGACACUAGCUCUAGGGUGUAGGCGCAAGAUUCUGCAGCUAGCAAACAAGCUUCUGUGCUCCAUCCUGCAGCUCCCCCAGCCGCUAAAAGUUGGGGUCCAAGGUGCGGCCCUCCUCUGUGCACACAGUCAUAUUCCUCCAGUUAGGAAGGCAAGGCUCCCUCCCUCGCCUCUGCGUAGGCAGCUGUUCAAAUACCUCCUCAUGGAGUACCACAAAAUGUCCCAAGUUGUCCCCAAGCU